rnacentral:rRNA from 1 species
UCCGUAGGUGAACCUGCGGAAGGAUCAUUAAUUUAGCCCUUGUGGCUAUGGGGUUGUAGCUCGCUAUAGCCCCUGCAAAACCCUUUAUCAUUUGCGCACUUGUGUUUCCUCGGCGGCUUACCCCGCCGUUUGGACAAUCUAUAACCCUUUGUAUUUGUACUCAGCGUCUGAAACUAUAAUAAUUACAACUUUUAACAACGGAUCUCUUGGUUCUGGCAUCGAUGAAGAACGCAGCGAAAUGCGAUAAGUAGUGUGAAUUGCAGAAUUCAGUGAAUCAUCGAAUCUUUGAACGCACAUUGCGCCCCUUGGUAUUCCGAGGGGCAUGCCUGUUCGAGCGUCAUUUGUACCUCAAGCUUUGCUUGGUGUUGGGUGUUUGUCUGCUCUUGUAGCUAGACUCGCCUUAAAUUUAUUGGCAGCUGGAGCGUUGGCUUUGGAGCGCAGCACAUUUUGCGUUUCUGGUUGAUACUUUGGCGUCCAUCAAGAUAUUAUCACUUUUGACCUCGGAUCAGGUAGGGAUACCCGCUGAACUUAA